rnacentral:misc_RNA from 1 species
UAACAGACCAUGGCCACCUCAGG